AUCACUUCUCGGCCUUUUGGCUAAGAUCAAGUGUAGUAUCUGUUCUUAUCAGUUUAAUAUCUGAUACAUCCUCUCUCUGCGGACAAUGUAUUAAGCACAUUUUUGCAGAUAGGAGUUGGACUAGGAGCUUGCGCCAUCCACUCCACGCAUCAGCCUGGUAUUGCAGUGCUUCCAGGAAUGGUGCAGCCCCU
rnacentral:snRNA from 1 species